rnacentral:rRNA from 1 species
AACGCGAAGAACCUUACCUGGGCUCGAAAUGUACAGGAAUCCGGUGGAAACAUCGGCGCCCAGCAAUGGGCCUGUAUAUAGGUGCUGCAUGGCUGUCGUCAGCUCGUGUCGUGAGAUGUUGGGUUAAGUCCCGCAACGAGCGCAACCCUUACCCCCAGUUGCCAUCAUUAAGUUGGGCACUCUGGUGGAACCGCCUCGGAUAACGGGGAGGAAGGUGGGGAUGACGUCAAGUCCUCAUGGCCUUUAUGUCCAGGGCUACACACGUGCUACAAUGGCCGGUACAAACCGUCGCAAAGCCGCGAGGUGGAGCUAAUCGGAAAAAGCCGGCCUCAGUUCGGAUCGCAGUCUGCAACUCGACUGCGUGAAGCUGGAAUCGCUAGUAAUCGUGGAUCAGAAUGCCACGGUGAAUACGUUCCCGGGCCUUGUA